GACGGAAGGUGCAAGCGUUGCUCGGAAUCACUGGGCGUAAAGGGCGCGUAGGCGGCAUGUUAAGUCAGCUGUGAAAUCUCCGAGCUUAACUCGGAACGGUCAGCUGAUACUGAUGUGCUAGAGUGCGGAAGGGGCAAUCGGAAUUCUUGGUGUAGCGGUGAAAUGCGUAGAUAUCAAGAGGAACACCUGAGGUGAAGACGGGUUGCUGGGCCGACACUGACGCUGAGUGCGCGAAAGCCAGGGGAGCAAACGGG
rnacentral:rRNA from 1 species